AUUAGAGAUAAGAGUCGCUUGCUUAGGGGUCAAGUAAGCCUUGCUUGGGAGUCAAGUAAACCUCUCUAUAUAAAGAGAGGAGAUGUAUCAAUCUAAUCAAGCAAGAAUUAAGAAGGAAAUCCCUUCCCUCUUGCCCGGCCGUGGGCAAAAAGGCCCCUGGCCGGCCCUCUCGCGCCCUCCUUCUAGCAGCGCCAUAACCAGUUGUUUAGUUAAUAAACCUAGUGCAGCAUGAUUCGUCUUGUACAUGCUCCACUUCUCAUCUAGAAUGGCAUGCUGAUCUAAACACAGCCAGCCAGCUUUGAGAAAACUGUUUCGAAGAUGAUCUGUCAUGUCUUUCUGAACUUUGGUGAAAUUCUUAAACUAAUUAGAAUUUAGAAGUAUCAUUUACAUGUCUUUAGCCUGAAACCAUUAUAUUUAUAUAUAACUGUCCAUGCCGCCGAGGAGUAGUUAGGGCCCCGUCGUGUAGCUUAUUAGUUAUAUAAUAUCUGAGAGAGAGAGAAAAGAGAGAGGGGUGGAUGGAUCCUGUAUAUAUCUUUGGAGUCCAAACUGGUAGUAAUCUGUAGUUUCGAUUGAUCUUGAAUCAUUGCUAAAUUGAAGCUGAAAAACUUGAUCGAAUAGCCAAUUCCAAUCUCCAUUUUGUGUAUCUUUCGUUUGGAUGUCUUGUUAUGUUGAUCCUUUUGCUUGUUCUUGAUCUUGAUGCCCAUGUGAACAACGAUCUUCUCUUGCUGCAAUGUUUCAGUAUUUUUUUUUGAAACGAAUGUUUCAGGCAGUUUCACUUGAUUAGCCGUUCUUGAGGGACAAUCUUGGAAUUGCUUGAUUUAGCAGGGUGCGAAUCGUGAAAAUUUUGUGUUAGCGAGUGAUCUGAUUUGGGGGAAGGGGAUCAGAGAGGUCUACCAAUUUAGGGAAUAUUUCUAGGGUCGUAGCAUAGGAGAUGCUCAAUUGGGCAAGCAAGGCUGAGCUACAUGCUAGGGUUCCUCUGGGCAAGCUGCUGGAUCGGGCCGCCACUUUCUCCUCAGGCUCCAAGUUGUUCGUCCGAGGUAUGAUUCGUACAUUUCAUUCUCCUCUGGUGUUCAGUUCCUAGUCAAUUCGUUUGGUGCUUGGACCCCAAUCUCUCCUAUGUUGAGAUCUGAUGCCAAUUUGAGAAUCUGCUUAGGAACAGGGGAUUCAUGCUUGGAACAACCCUGUUAGUUAACACUGAGCACAUCCUGCUUAUUUGCGAAAGAUAAAGGACAUUGAGCUAUCUGAGAAAUGUGCUGACUUAAGAAUAUGGUUGAGGAUGUUCUGAUGCCCUGCUGUUUCUUCCACUGAGUUUUUCAGGUCUGUCCUACAACUCGAAUGAAGUUGCUCUCAAGGACGCCUUCUCUCAGCAUGGCAAUGUUAUCCAAGUGAAAGUAAUAUGCCAUCCUGUCACGGGGAGAUCCAAAGGAUACGUCUUGGUCAAGUUCUCUUCAGAAACUGAAGCAGCCGCGGCGUUGGAGAGGAUGAGUGACGAGGUGCUUGAUGGAAAGAAAAUACGGGUGGAUUAUGCAAACAGCGAACAAUCUGCUGCUGCUGCUGCUGCAGAUGAGUAAGGUCUUCUCCUAAGCAUGAGACCUUUAUCCGAGGGACACAUACUGGGCUCCAUUUGGCAUAAGCAUUGUUUCGCAAAGGGAACCAUGAACCAUCUGUAGUUGCCCCCAAAGGUCACGGUGCUGUAUAACUUCACUGUAAGAACUAAAGGAGCAGCAGGAGACUCCUAAUUCUAUAUUUUAACAAAAUAAGAUAUGUAACUAUCAGUGUACUCUACAAGUGGUAGAAGACAGAAUCUAAAUUGCAAUAAAGUUGGCAGAAGUGGUCAGGGAAUUAGCAAGCUCCCGAGUGACCCUCAACUUCAGAAUUUCAAUAUCUGCCUUGAACAUUCUAAUCCAGUCCCUAAUAUCAGCAGGGAUGGCAUGAAAAAAAGCACAUGUUUCUGUUU